CGCGUCUUGACGGGGUGCUGGCCCGCCUUCAAUAACUGAGGGGCGGUCGGCUGAGAUUGCAUCGCAGAACCCGCGACCUGAUCCGGAUAAUACCGGCGUAGGGAUUGAGACCAUAUUGCUA
rnacentral:ncRNA from 1 species